rnacentral:rRNA from 1 species
UACGUAGGGGGCAAGCGUUGUUCGGAUUUACUGGGCGUAAAGGGCGCGUAGGCGGCGCGUACAGUCUGACAUGAAAUCAUUGGGCUUAACCCGAUGGCUGUGCCCGAUACUUGCGUGCUUAGAGUGCGGGAGAGGCAAUCGGAAUUCUCGGUGUAGCGGUGAAAUGCGUAGAUAUCGAGAGGAACUCCGGUGACGAAGGUGGGUUGCUGGACCGACUCUGACGCUGAGGCGCGAAAGCUAGGGGAGCAAACGGG